rnacentral:siRNA from 1 species
CCAUCAGGAUACCUCAUGGCC